UGGUGGGCUCCGGCACAGCCUGAGCCUCCCUGAGGGGCACCACCCUGUGCUCCAUGGCGCCCGGUUCCAUGGACCGCCCAAGGGCUGAGGAGUGCAGGCCAGCGGUGCGGGACUGGCGGGCAGCUCCGCCCGCGGCCCUGGCGUGGGAUCCACUAGGCGAAGCCAGCUGGGCUCCUGAGUUGGGUGGGGACUUGGAGAACUUUUAUGUCUAGCAGCAGGAUUGUAUAUGCACCAAUCAGCACUCUGUGUCUAGCUCGGGGUUCCUGCAUGCACCAAUCAGCACUCUGUAUCUAGCUAAUCUGGUGGGGACUUGGAGAACCUUUAUGUCUAGCUAAAGGAUUGUAAAUACACCAAUCAGCACUCUGUGUCUAGCUCAAGGUUUGUAAACGCACCAAUCAGCACCCUGUGUCUAGCUCAAGGUUUGUAAACACACCAAUCAGUGCUCUGUGUCUAGUUAAUCUAGUGGGGACUUGGAGAACUUUUACGUCUAGCUAGAGGAUUGUAAAUACACCAAUCAGCACUCUGUGUCUAGCUCCGGGAUUGUAAACGCACCAAUCAGCACCCUGUCAAAACGGACCAAUCAGCUCUCUGUAAAAUGGACCAAUCAGCUCUCUGUAAAAUGGGCCAAUCAGCAAGAUGUGGGUGGGGUGAGAUAAGGAAAUAAAAGCAGGGUGUCCAAGCCAGCAGCGGCAAGCUGCUCUGGUCUCCUUCCAUGCUGUAGAAGCUUUGUUCUUUUGGGGUUCACAAGAACUCUUGCUGCUGCUCACUCUUUGGGUUCUACACUGCCUUUAUGAACUGUAACACUCACGGUGAAGGUCUACAGCUUCACUCCUGAAGCCAGUGAGACCCCUAACCCAGCGGGAGGGACGAACAACUCCAGAUAGAAGAAACAAACAACUCCAGACACGCUGCCUUUAAGAGCUGUAACACUGACUGCAAAGGUCUGCAGCUUCACUCCUGAAGCCAGUGAGACCACGAACCCACCAGAAGGAAGAAAUUCUGGACACGUCUGAACAUCAGAAUGAAAAAACUGUGGACACACCAUCUUUAAGAACUGUAACACUCACGGCGAGGGUCCAUGGUUUCAUUCUUGAAGUCAGCGAGACCAAGAACCCACCAUUUCCAGACAUAGUUUGACGGUGUUGCUUCAGAGAGGAGUCUGGCCAGGGAUGACCAGACUCCAGGGGAAGAUCACCUUUGUGCUCCAGUCCCCUUCCAACUCCCCUUCCUGCCGAGAGCCACUUCCAUCAGCAAUAAAAUCCUCCACAUUCACCACCCUUCAAUUUGUUCAUGCAAACUGAUUUUUCCUGGAAACUAAACAAGAGCUUGUGUACCAGGGGUGUGGACACUAAAGGCUGUCAUACUGACCCUCUGCCCUCGCUGGCAAAGAGCAACUGCCUCCAACAAAAAGGCAGAGAGCCCACUGAGCUGUUUACCACCUAAGCCAUCCAUGGACAGCAGAGUUAAAAGAGCACUGUAACACAUGCCCUCUGGGGCUUUGGGGAUCGUGGAUACUCCUCCCUACAUGCUGUCUUGGGGCCUAUGUGGAGUUUUGCUCCUGCUGCCACCCAAAAGUGCUCACUCUGGCUCCUACACCCGCUCACCUGCAUGCUCCCCCUCUCAUGAGGGGUUGAGAGCUGCAGGCUGAAUAAGCGAGGCAUCCGUGUCACGAGGCCUGUUAAGGGGUCAAGGAAAAUUUCCUGUUUCAUUAGGUACUACAAUCUGGUUUUGAAGUUGCCCAAAGAAACUUGAAUGGCUUCCUCUUUCAUUCCCACAAGGCUCUGAAAACACUGCUGCUGAUCCGCUGUCUUCACUCCUAUCUCACCCUGGCAUAACUGCACUCUACUCAAACUCUAUCUGGAAGGAGCAGAGCUCAGGGGUUCUGACCCCACAGAAUGGGCUCCAGGCACUAAGAGCUGAACAACACAGAACACCUGUUCCAUGUCGAGUUGGUUAUCAUUUUAUACUUUUCUAAAAACCUCAAGGAAGAUCUUCAACAUAAGCCCUGGCAUAAGACAUUUUCUAUGUAUUCAAAAUAAGAAAAGGAAAUGGUGAAUAUAUUGACAAGUAGCAAUUUGAAUUAUAAUGAC
rnacentral:lncRNA from 1 species